rnacentral:snRNA from 1 species
AUUCCUACCUGGCUGGGGAGAUACCAUGGCCACAAAGGUGGUUCUCCCAGGGCAAGGCUUAUCCACUGCAAUCCAGAUGUGCUGACCCCUGCGAUUUCCCCAAAUGCGGAAACUCAACUGCAUACUUUGUGGGAGUGGGGAACUGCAUUCGCACUCUCCCCU